rnacentral:tRNA from 1 species
AAGAUCUUAGUUAAUCAAUAACAUUAAUUUGUCAAAUUAAAAUUACUAUUAUAGUAGAUCUUU